GUGUUCCUCAUUACAAGGUCUCAGCAACACUGUGCCAGUCUGGGCAAGAAAUGUGCUUCCUCUUCUUCCACUGAGCAGGACACAGCUGAGCUGUCCAGCAGACAACUCAGUGCCUUCCUGCAGCUUUGCUACCAGUUUUUGAAGGGAAGCCCUGCUUUGCAAUCAGGAAGUUGCUUGUUCUGUGAUGAGCAUUGCUGCUGCCCCAGAGGGAGGGGAUGGCGCUGUCUGGAUGGACUUCAGAUCUACAGAAGGAACUUGCUGUUGGUACUCCACCCUAGAUCCAGUCUGCAACUGGAAAAGUUUCUUGAUUCACUGCAGACUUCGGAUUUAGGAGCCAAGAGAUGAUGUGCAUGUGGGGCAUGUCAGGCUGGUCCCAAGUGUAGUUCACCCCGCAGCUGUGACAAGCUUCUGGCCUCAUGUUGGCAGGGAGAUGUGCAGGUAAGGCAAAUGAAAGAGUGGCUUCUGGAAAACAGCUAAUCCCGUGAUUUCACCUCGUUCUCUGCCAAGCGCUUCCAUUACUGAAUGACCUUCACUUCUGUUUCUGUUAGGUGUUCUCUCAAGGAUGGUACACAUACUGGACACAGCUUUGCAGCAGACAGUCACUGGAGCCAUGAACAAGAAGGAACGCUCCCUGCUGCUGUUUGUGACUGUCCUUUCAGUGGAGGGAUCAGAGUCGUCCUUUCAUGCAGCUUGUGCUUGUCCUCUAAAUUCUUUUCAAGGCAACAGCUUUCCGAGGCUGCAUCCUGUAAGUGUAACCUGCAUUUCUGGUUUCAGAUGCCUUGCCUUGUAUUUGACUUUUUAAAUCUUAAAUCAAGUUUUCCUGGGCUGUGGCCAAUUCUCAGCCACUUCAGAUCGCUGUGUAUUGAUAGUCCAGUCGGGCUUGUUGUUUCCCUGCUGCCAGCCUUGUUGGCAUCUGCAGACUUGGCCACAACAAGGAUUUUUAUAGUGUCACGUAGAUCGCUGAUAAAAAAUAUGGAAUGA
rnacentral:lncRNA from 1 species